AUGAAACCCCAUCCUUACCUGGGCUUUGGGAACCGGAUAAAGUGCCUGCAUGUUGUCCCUGGAAGGUGGUACAGAGGUGACAUUUUGUUAUUGUCCUGCACCCAUGAGUCGCAUGCAGAUACACUCUGCCCUGGAAGUGAAUCCACUCCUAUGCUGGACAUCCCCAGGCUCAUUCUUCUAAUCAUCAGCCACGAGAGACACUGUGUCAAGAGAGACUUUAGGAUUUGCUUUAUCUAUCCAUUCCCUUANNNNNNNNNNNNNNNNNNNNNNNNNNNNNNNNNNNNNNNNNAUAUAUUCCUUAAUUAAUAAGGGAGUCAGUGAAUAUAUAUAUAUACACUGACUCUCUUAUCAAUAAAGUUCAUUUUAAAAUACCUCUUUUUAUUUAUUUCUGUGGCUGUCCCCUGAAACCAGGGACGUUGUCUGGCCACAGUUUGAUCUCCCAAUGCAGCUCUUACCACAGCCACAGCAGGGACAAGGAGAGACUCUUAAACCAACCAGCCAUGAGGGAACUCCCUGAGAGCUUGCCUGAUGAGAACAAUCCACCCUGCUUAGUACAUCAGACCUGGUUUGGGUCAGGUCUCCAUUCGCUGGCGACUAACUGAAAAGUGAGGCUCAUUUCGAAAGGCAAGAAUGAAAAUUCCCUAAGCCUCUUUUGCGAUAAUAGCACAAGGAUUAGCCAAACUGUCCAAACUUAUGCCACUGAGUCCCCCAUUUAUUCAUCAGCACCACCCUCUUUCUCCACCUGCAUAAAUGCCCUCUGGUCAGGAACUUGAAAAUGGCCAGAUCACGAUCAAAAUCUGAUGCUGUGUGUGUCUUGGUCUCCGGCUCUGGAAGAAUACAAGGCACACCAAAGCCCAGUGAAUCCUUCAAUUAUUUUAAAAACACACCGCCACCCAAUGAGGCUGCCAAUCCACCUCCAAAUACUGAAGGGACACCUGUGCCCUCUGCCUGAACUAAGGCGUCUUGGAGGAGAGUCCCUGGGGCCCAGGACACACCUAAAAAUCCUCUGGGUGCUUGCUGCAUGUUUCACUCAAGACACCAUCGGCCCCAACUCUGAGCCUGCACGGUUUUGAGCCUUGGAGCUCUAACCUGUUAGAGGCUCAGAGCUGCACCUGGGGCCAGAAGGGACUCUGGCGCCCUCGUGUGGACAUCCGUUCUAACAGCCACUCUUAGGUUUUCCUCUUCUCACUGGCUCAGCAGGCCCUCAUGCUGCAUUGGCCAUAGGCAAUACGCAGGUUGGGUCUCCUCCCCUGGCUCGCAUGAGAUAUCAAGAGGUGCCCUUCUGAGUGGGCUAUUUCUCUCUGGAAGACUUCCAGAGCCCUGAGGUCAACCUAUGCCAUGCCUAGCUGUUUAAACACUCAGUUCCUGAGCCAUCAUGUCAUAUGCCAGACUUCUUCCUUUUUAUAUAUAUCUCUGCACUGAUCUCUUUAUGAAGAUGGGUGUAUAGGUAUGUAACGAUUGAUUUUUUUUAAUUUUCCACCUGUAAUUCUGUCAUUUUUACAAUAAAUUCAGGCCUCAUUUCUUUUUUUCUUUCUCUCCAUACCUCUUUAUUUUUAAUUUAUUGACCACACCUGAAGCAUGCAUGAGUUGUCUGCACACUGAAGUUUUUUAUGCUGCACUGUUUACAAAACCAACAUAGCAACAAAGACAGGUCAUUUACCCAGGGUGCCGGGAAGGAUACUGUUGUGGAAAAGAAUUUGACCUCUAUGGUAUGGGAGUUCAGGUAAAUUUUUACCACCCUUAGGGACCAUAGGAUCUAGGUAAUCAGAAAAACAAACACAGAACCACCACAUGACCCAGCAAUACCACUCUUGAGCUUAUACCCAGAAAAUAUUCUUUUCAAAAAGUUAAAUGCCCCCCUAGCCUCAUGUAGCACUAUUCACACAGCAAGACAUGGAAACCAUUCUAUGUCCAUUGAUUGGAUUAGGAAGACGAUGUCCAUGUCCACAAAGGGACAGUAUUCACCCAUAGAACACAGCAAAAAUAAUGCCACUGGCAGCCACGAAGGUGCAAAGAAAAACCCUAAUACUAAACAUGUCCGAAAGAAACAGGGAAACCCCUUCCCCCUGGAAUCUUACAAAUGACACCAAUGAACUUUUCUACAGAAAAGAAACUCAUGGACUGGAAUACAUAUUUUUGGUUGCCAGUUUGGAGGGGGAGGGUGUGGGAAGGACUGGGAUUCGGAGGGUAAAAAUCCAAACACUUGCCCUUGGAGUGGGUAAGCAUAGCAAUCCUGCACUUAGCCCAGGGAACUAGAACUAAUCACUAUAUUUUGAACCAAAUGGAGGAUAAUGUGAGAAAAAGUAUAUAUAUAUAUAUAUAUAUAUAUAUGAAUGGAGCACUAAAAUAAAUAACAUUUAUUUAUUUUAAAAUAACAAAUGACAACAAAACAAAAUGACAAAAUAGGCGGCUCAGCAUUCACCAGAGAAAGAUCAGGGUAGAGACUGCUGCCUCUUGGGAAAACAGCCAGGCACAGUGACUCCGCUGAAUCUGUUAAGAUUUCCUAGCAAAGCAACAUCAGGCCGGAACAAAUUUCCAACCAUGUAUGAAUUUGUUUCGAUAAUACCACUUUUAUUAAAUUAUUUUUUUACAUCUCCAGUUAUUUUCCUGCAAGAACAUGUGGCAUGCCAAUAUACCCUGCCCUGGAAAUGAAUCCACUCCUAUGCUGUACAUCAAAGGCUCAUACUUAAAACCCCCUGCCACCAGAGUUACUGGGUCAAGAGAGCUUUAGGUUUGUUUUCUCUAUCCAUUCCCUUAGCUAUUCUGUAGG
rnacentral:lncRNA from 1 species